rnacentral:rRNA from 1 species
UACAGAGGUCUCAAGCGUUGUUCGGAUUCAUUGGGCGUAAAGGGCGCGUAGGCUGCGGGGCAAGUCGGGUGUGAAAUCUCAGAGCUCAACUCUGAAACUGCACUCGAUACUGCUUUGCUCGAGGACUGGAGAGGAGAUUGGAAUUCACGGUGUAGCAGUGAAAUGCGUAGAUAUCGUGAGGAAGACCAGUGGCGAAGGCGGAUCUCUGGACGAGUUC